GCAGCCCGCCUCUCUCAGUACCCUGCGCCGCUCUUCUCAGUACCCAUCCCGCAGACAGGAAAUGACGCAACACCGCAGCUCUCAGUCCCCUCAGACCGGAAAUGUCGUCAACCCUUGCGACGAAAACAAGUUACGUUAUUUCACCUCUCGCGAAAAAAACACGCUGCAAGAUCACCACCCCAUUGGGAAGAAACUAAAUCACGACCCCCAAAUGGUAGUCUUCCCAUGCAGAUACAGGGAUGUCACACAGAUCCAAAUGGAAACAUCGAACACUGUAAAACCCACUGUGCAGACAGGACCAAUGGUGACAAUAUAAGACCAUGUCGAGUUUCAUGGACGGUUCAAACUCAUCCUGCCCAGGAACGGCUGAUAUGAAAUGCAUAUUUAUAACUUGUCUAACAAGUAGCUCAUUCAAAGAAAACGUUGACAGUCAAUCAACAGGGGGACAUGGAAAGAGAGGAUUGGAAGUGAAAUAGAGGGUUUUUCGGGACAGCCAUAGGGGAAGGACUGUGGCAUCUUCAUGUUGAUGUUAGACUGAUAUGCCAACUCUGAGGAAGUGGUGGUGUAUAUUGCUAGCGGACAAUUUCAAACUUGGGUGCAUGGUGAGCCACAGGAAAGAGUUUGCCCAUUGGACAGAUAAGGCAAAAGCAUUACUGCAGGGUGAAGUGCCACCAGUCUAUCAGCUACAGAAGUGAAAUUUGAAUAUAAUUGCUGAGGAAGAGGUGCAACCACAGCUCCUUCAAGUUAGUGGUGGCCCACUCCAAAAAGAUAUGACGGGAAAAAAAUGUUUUGGUAAAAGGACUGUGCAAGACUGCACAAAAGCCUCGGACAGGGGUGGGGUGGGGGGGGGAUUCAUGCAGUAGGAGUUCCCAAGCAUCCUGCAGAUGGAAGAGGAUGAGCACGAACUACAAUGUCUUGGAGCCAUUCAAGUUCUGUUUCAACCAUCUGGAAGAUGGAUUUACCUUUUUUGAGGAGAUUGUUGACCAAAGAAAAUAUCUGGUAUUCUCUCAAUAAUAAUAAAAAAAUAAUAAAACUAAAAAAAUAAAGUUUACCACAUUAGAACCGGUUGUAUUGAGUUCAUUUUUCUACACUUAUAAAUUAGUUGUUUUUUUUCUUUUAUCCCAGAUGUUAGUUGUAGGUAGUUUUAAUUACCUGUGAUGAAGGCGGGAGUGCUUGCCGAAAAAUGUCAGGUAAUUAAAACAACCUACAACUAUUGUCUGGGAUAAAAGAAAAAAACAACUAACACAUGAUAACUAUUUUGUCAUUUCUGUUUGAAAUAAAGGUGCCUUUCCUGGAGCAGAAAGUUUAAUAUAGUUUCUGAAUUAGUUAAUUAAGAUCUUCACUCACAUGAAUGAAUUUAAGUAGCAAAAUGAAAGACAAAAUUGGUUUGGUUGCAACAUGGAGAGAAUAUUACGUUUUUGAUACAUUAAAUUGUAAUGAAGCUAUAUUAAUGUGUCCGUUCAUAAAAAUGUAAGGAUGACAGCAAUUUCUAAUAAUUCUCAAUUGGAGUAUAUUUUACAAUUGACAAACUAAAGUACACACUGUGAUAGGUCACAUGCGAUCUUUCAGUCACCAAUUAAACCUUUAUUACAGUAGUGUGUAUUUUAAUUUUGAUGUACUGUAACCAUGUUUUUCAUUUUGGUAAAAUCACCAGGCUUUAACAAACUGACCGCGCUUAAAGAGUUAAUCUCCCGAUUUCACCAAAUCAAUUUAAGGAGCAUGGAAAUAAAUUAUUAUUUAAAUAAUAAUGAGUGAUGCUGAAACCGAAAAUAAAAGACGUGCGCAAAGAAAAGUAAACUAGUAUUUACGUUCGAAUGGACGCUAACUAUUACGAUAAAACCGGAAGCUCGGAGCUCGAGCGCUGUUUCAUGUUGUCAUUUCCGGUCUGAGAGCUGCGAUAUUGCGUCACUUCCUGUCUGCGGGAUGGGUACUGAGACGAGCGGCGCAGGGUACUGAGAG